AAACAUUCAGUGUCUCCUCCCUCUGCAUGCACUGAACUUUCCUCAUAGAGAUUCAUUAAUGAAAUUCAUCUAUAUAAGGAGAUGCUGAUUGUCCAGGGCUGUGUUUGAAUCAUACUGGCUCUGACCCUGAUCUGCCUCUUUGUCAGUCUCAGCCAAUCCUAUGGGGAAGCACUGUGAUUGGAUCAGGCCACCACUUCUAAUGAUGUCAGCAGACUGCUUGUUUUUAUGAGUCUAACAGCAUGCCGAGUUACAGCUACAGGCUUGAAUAUAGAUUUUGCUAUAUUUAUGGAGGCAUGAGGGGUCCAGGGGGGGCUAGAUGGUGGUGUUAAUACUAUAGGGUCAUGAAUUCAUGUUUGUGUUCCUGACCCUAUAGUGAUCCUUUAAGGUAAUGCUGACUUUGGUCUCUCUAACACUGUGGCAUGUUCCCUUUCUUCUACACUCACUACAUAUAGCUUUACUCUGUCCCAGACCAUAUACCAGGAUCUUCUGCCUGAUAGUAAGAAGGUAAGGAGACAAGUGGACCAGCGAGUGCUAGGGACAGUCCUUAGAAAGCGUUGAGUGAACGCAUCAUUAGAUGCAUUUAUGCCAAGCUCAGGGUGUUGUCUGCAUAGUAUGCCCUUAGUUGGCCAGCUGCAUGAUUGGCAGGCAGCCUGACAUGCAUUCAUGUCAGGCUGGCCUUCUAAUUCUUUGAGCAGAAAUGUCCUCUUUUUGGGCAUGUUUGCCCAUUUUGGCAGGUUAUGUGAUUUGUGUCAGUGGCAAACCCUUUUACCGUCCCCAUUGACUUCCUGCUUGAUUGGACGUUGCUGUUAGGGGUUAUGGAUUUACUUGAAAGCUGAAAACAUAAAUUAGAGAGAGAUUAGCCUAGGGUAUGUGUUUUCUUAUAGCUGCUGUUUUCUUUCUCUCCAGCACCAUCUCCAUCAGAUACAUGAUGCUUAUGAGUGUUUUACUGUUUUUGGUCUAUAUGAUUCUGUAAUUAGGCCCGUCAGAAUUGUCAGCACCAGGCCCACUGGGCUCUUAAUCUGGCCCUGCCUGG